CUGGGCUUGACAUACCUCUGACCGGCGUGGAAACACGUCUUCCCUUCGGGGCAGAGAUACAGGUGGUGCAUGGCUGUCGUCAGCUCGUGUCGUGAGAUGUUGGGUUGAGUCCCGCAACGAGCGCAACCCCCGUCCUAUGUUGCCAGCGGAUAACGCCGGGGACUCAUGGGAUACUGCCGGUGACAAACCGGAGGAAGGUGGGGAUGACGUCAAGUCAUCAUGCCCCUUAUGUCCAGGGCUUCACACGUGCUACAUUGGCGCAUACAGAGGGCUGCGAUACCGCGAGGUGGAGCGAAUCCCAAAAAGUGCGUCUCGGUUCGGAUUGGAGGCUGAAACUCGCCUCCAUGAAGGCGGAGUUGCUAGUAAUCCCAGAUCAGCAAUGCUGGGGUGAAUACGUUCCC
rnacentral:rRNA from 1 species